ensembl:lncRNA novel transcript
CCCAACUCCUUUCUCCUUUCCCCGCAGGACUACCUUUCCUCGAGUGACAGCCCUGCUCUCCUCAGGAACUCACCCCUGGCUACAGAGUGCGGUGGCGCCAGCACAGAGCUCUGCUCAACGUCCCUCUGUGCUUUCACGAUGCUGAUGGAUUAUGAAGUCCACAGACAGCAAGGGCAGUAUCACUGCAGUGGCAGUCGCAGAUGGACUUUCAGUCGCCUCUAGGAGCUCCACCCCACAGAAACACAGACAGCAGCCAGUGGAAAUGUUCAGCUGAGUGUGAGGUGCCUGCACUGUGGGCCCAAGCCAGGAGCCCUGCCUGGUGAAGAGUAGCAGAUGAGGAAGCGGAUGCAUAGCAAGUUUAAAUAGCUUGCAGAAGGACACACAGUUUGCAAGUGAAGGAGCUCAAAUUCAAAGACUGGCAGUCUGCAUCCAGAGUUGAUCAUCUUAAAUACCAUGCUGAACCGGUUGCUCUCAAAGUCUAAACAGUAUUUUUUACAAUAAGAUAUCCUUUUGUAGGUCAACGAAUAGUUUCUAAUUCUUUUUAAAAUAAAAUACAAUGAACUGAAUACAA